UACGAAGGGGGCUAGCGUUGCUCGGAAUGACUGGGCGUAAAGGGCGCGUAGGCGGAUUGCUUUGUCGGGCGUGAAAUUCCAGGGCUUAACCUUGGGGCUGCGUUCGAGACGGGUGAUCUUGAGUUCGGAAGAGGGUCGUGGAAUUCCCAGUGUAGAGGUUGAAAUUCGUAGAUAUUGGGAAGAACACCGGUGGCGAAGGCGGCGACCUGGUCCGAGACUGACGCUGAGGCGCGAAAGCGUGGGGAGCAAACAGG
rnacentral:rRNA from 1 species